AUACGUAGGGUGCAAGCGUUAAUCGGAAUUACUGGGCGUAAAGCGUGCGCAGGCGGUUUUGUAAGUCAGCGGUGAAAUACCCGGGCUCAACCUGGGAACUGCCUUUGGCACUGCAAGGCUAGAGUACGGCAGAGGGGGAUAGAAUUUCGGCUGACUCAGUGAAAUGCGUAGAUAUACGGAGGAACACCGAUGGCGAAGGCAAUCCCCUGGGCCUGUACUGACGCUCAUGCACGAAAGCGUGGGGAGCAAACAGGAUUAGAUACCCUGGUAGUCCACGCCCUAAACGAUGUCAACUGGUUGUUGGGUCUUCAUUGACUCAGUAACGAAGCUAACGCGUGAAGUUGACCGCCUGGGGAGUACGGCCGCAAGGUUGAAACUCAAAUGAAUUGACGGGG
rnacentral:rRNA from 1 species